UCCUUGGUGGUUCAAUGGUUAAGACUCUGUGCUUCCACUGCAGUGGGCCUGAGUUCAAUCCCUGGUCAAGGAA
rnacentral:tRNA from 1 species